GGCUCAGAUUGAACGCUGGCGGCAUGCCUUACACAUGCAAGUCGAACGGCAGCACGGACUUCGGUCUGGUGGCGAGUGGCGAACGGGUGAGUAAUGCAUCGGAACGUGCCAUUGAGUGGGGAUAACGUAGCGAAAGUUGCGCUAAUACCGCAUACUCUGUGAGCAGGAAAGCAGGGGACCGCAAGGCCUUGCGCUCUUUGAGCGGCCGAUGUCAGAUUAGCUAGUUGGUGAGGUAAAGGCUUACCAAGGCGACGAUCUGUAGCGGGUCUGAGAGGAUGAUCCGCCACACUGGAACUGAGACACGGUCCAGACUCCUACGGGAGGCAGCAGUGGGGAAUUUUGGACAAUGGGGCAACCCUGAUCCAGCCAUGCCGCGUGAGUGAAGAAGGCCUUCGGGUUGUAAAGCUCUUUCGGCCGGGAAGAAAUCGCAUGGGCCAAUACCCUGUGUGGAUGACGGUACCGGAAUAAGAAGCACCGGCUAACUACGUG
rnacentral:rRNA from 1 species